UCGAGCGAGUCUGCCUUGAAGAUCGGAGUGCUUGCACUCUGUGAAACAAGAUACAGGCUAGCGGCGGACGGGUGAGUAACACGUGGGCAACCUGCCCAAGAGAUCGGGAUAACACCUGGAAACAGAUGCUAAUACCGGAUAACAACAGAUGAUGCCUAUCAACUGUUUAAAAGAUGGUUCUGCUAUCACUCUUGGAUGGACCUGCGGUGCAUUAGCUAGUUGGUAGGGUAACGGCCUACCAAGGCGAUGAUGCAUAGCCGAGUUGAGAGACUGAUCGGCCACAUUGGGACUGAGACACGGCCCAAACUCCUACGGGAGGCAGCAGUAGGGAAUCUUCCACAAUGGACGCAAGUCUGAUGGAGCAACGCCGCGUGAGUGAAGAAGGGUUUCGGCUCGUAAAGCUCUGUUGUUGGUGAAGAAGGACAGGGGUAGUAACUGACCUUUGUUUGACGGUAAUCAAUUAGAAAGUCACGGCUAACUACGUGCCAGCAGCCGCGGUAAUACGUAGGUGGCAAGCGUUGUCCGGAUUUAUUGGGCGUAAAGCGAGUGCAGGCGGCUCGAUAAGUCUGAUGUGAAAGCCUUCGGCUCAACCGGAGAAUUGCAUCAGAAACUGUCGAGCUUGAGUACAGAAGAGGAGAGUGGAACUCCAUGUGUAGCGGUGAAAUGCGUAGAUAUAUGGAAGAACACCGGUGGCGAAGGCGGCUCUCUGGUCUGUUACUGACGCUGAGGCUCGAAAGCAUGGGUAGCGAACAGGAUUAGAUACCCUGGUAGUCCAUGCCGUANACGAUGAGUGCUAAGUGUUGGGAGGUUUCCGCCUCUCAGUGCUGCAGCUAACGCAUUAAGCAC
rnacentral:rRNA from 1 species